rnacentral:rRNA from 1 species
UGCAGUAGACGCUGAAGUCUGGUGCUUGCCUAGACGGAUGAGUUGCGAACGGGUGAGUAACGCGUAGGUAACCUGCCUCAUAGCGGGGGAUAACUAUUGGAAACGAUAGCUAAUACCGCAUAACAGUAUUUACCGCAUGGUAGAUGCUUGAAAGGAGCAACUGCUUCACUAUGAGAUGGACCUGCGUUGUAUUAGCUAGUUGGUGAGGUAACGGCUCACCAAGGCUUCGAUACAUAGCCGACCUGAGAAGGUGAUCGGCCACACUGGGACUGAGACACGGCCCAGACUCCUACGGGAGGCAGCAGUAGGGAAUCUUCGGCAAUGGGGGCAACCCUGACCGAGCAACGCCGCGUGAGUGAAGAAGGUUUUCGGAUCGUAAAGCUCUGUUGUAAGAGAAGAACUGUGAGAAGAGUGGAAAGUUUCUCACUUGACGGUAUCUUACCAGAAAGGGACGGCUAACUACGUGCCAGCAGCCGCGGUAAUACGUAGGUCCCGAGCGUUGUCCGGAUUUAUUGGGCGUAAAGCGAGCGCAGGCGGUUUGAUAAGUCUGAAGUAAAAGGCUGUGGCUUAACCAUAGUACGCUUUGGAAACUGUCAAACUUGAG